GGGGUUGUGGCUCAGCGGUAGAGCGCUCAUGUAGCGUGUGUGAGGCUCUGGGUUUGAUCCUCAGCACCACA
rnacentral:tRNA from 1 species